AAGACCUCAAAUCAGGUGGGACUACCUGCUGAACUUAAGCAUAUCAAUAAGCAGAGGAAAAGAAACUAACAAGGAUUCCCCUAGUAAUGGCGAAUGAAGAGGGAAAAGCCCAAAUUUGUAAUCUGGCUCUUUCAGAGUCCGAGUUGUAAUUUUAAGAACUGUUUUCAGUGCUGGACCGUGUACAAGUCUCCUG
rnacentral:rRNA from 1 species